rnacentral:lncRNA from 1 species
CUUGAGAACUAGUAAUCAUUGCCAGUGGGAAGAGAAUGAAAAACAGGAGCCCAGUUGGAAAAAGACCCAAGCAACAAACGAACAAUUACACUUGAUCACAGUGACUGAAGAGGAGAAAAACCUGCGUGGGGCACAGAAAGCUAGACACAGAAAGAAAGGAAGGGUACAUCGUACUGCAGCUAUCCCACAUCCAAGUGACAUCAGCUCAAACCAAGAGGGACUUUCUUCGUAGAAAAAGCUGAGCAAGAAAACCCCAUCACCACCACAGAUAGCUGCAGUCAUCAUUACUGAUCAGCUCAU